rnacentral:rRNA from 1 species
GACGAACGCUGGCGGCGUGCUUAACACAUGCAAGUCGAACGGAAAGGCCCUGCUUUUGCGGGGUGCUCGAGUGGCGAACGGGUGAGUAACACGUGAGUAACCUGCCCUUGACUUUGGGAUAACUUCAGGAAACUGGGGCUAAUACCGGAUAGGAGCUCCUGCUGCAUGGUGGGGGUUGGAAAGUUUCGGCGGUUGGGGAUGGACUCGCGGCUCAUCAGCUUGUUGGUGGGGUAGUGGCUUACCAAGGCUUUGACGGGUAGCCGGCCUGAGAGGGUGACCGGCCACAUUGGGACUGAGAUACGGCCCAGACUCCUACGGGAGGCAGCAGUGGGGAAUAUUGCACAAUGGGCGGAAGCCUGAUGCAGCAACGCCGCGUGCGGGAUGACGGCCUUCGGGUUGUAAACCGCUUUCGCCUGUGACGAAGCGUGAGUGACGGUAAUGGGUAAAGAAGCACCGGCUAACUACGUG